UGUUUGUUUGUUUGUUUUUUAUUGAGUUUUCAACAAUUGCAUGACAUUUUGUGUUUUGUUUUGUUGCUUGCACUAUUCUUUGUUGCAAAAUUAUUACAUUCGUUAAUCGUUAAUCGCUUAAUUAUCAAUAACAAUUGCAUACAAUUUAAAUAGUUCAAUUCACAUCAUCAUCAUCAUCAUCAUCUCAUCAGCAUUAUCAUCGUUUAAUAAUUUGUUGUUUUUCUUUAUUGUUAUUUAUUAUUAUUAUUGUAACCAUUUUCCUUUUUGCACUCAACAUUAUUGCGGCUUGACUUUGAUUCUAACAAUGGUUGUUGUUCUUGUUGUUGUUUAAUUAAUUCAAUUACUUUUGUGUUGGGCUUAAUUUGACAUUUUUGUUUUCUUGUUUUUUUUUUUGUUUGUUUUGUUUGGUUUUUUUUUGUGAGGAGGGGUUUUAAUGGGAGGGCAUAAUUUCUAAACAAUUAAUAAAUAAUUACAAUUACUUUUGUUGGCAUACUUUUUUUGUUUGUUUGUUUGUUUUGGUUUUGAUAUACAUGCAAGCGUGUAUUUUCAAUAAUAAACAAUAAUAAUAAUUAAGUAGUAUUAUUGGUUCAUCAGGAUGGCGACAAAUAAAUACUUUACUUUCUUGUUAACAAUAUCAAUUUUGGACCUCAGCAAAUUGUUAACUGAUUGCAUAAUUCUUUCAUUCUUUUGUUUAAUUUAAGUAUUCGAACAUAAAAAUACUUUGGGUUCUCUUUUGCAUAAAUUUAAAUUUAACUAAAUAAAAAAAAAAACACACACAUUAGAAACUGUCGGCUUAAUUUGAUUGUUGUUGUUGUUGUUGUAUUGGUUGCUAGUUGUUGUAGCUUUCUUGUUUUCUUUGUUGCUAUUAUCAUUUUUCUUCCUUUUUUUUUUUGGUUUGAGGCGCAAGAGUGUCCAAUAAUGUCAUUGUUGUUGUUGCGGCUCCCAAUGUGGAACACUCUGCAGUUGCGACAUUUAUUAGUUGCAUGGUGUUCGUGC